GAACCUUUACUAUAGCUUGACACUGAACAUUGAGCCUUGAUGUGUAGGAUAGGUGGGAGGCUUUGAAGUGUGGACGCCAGUCUGCAUGGAGCCGGCCUUGAAAUACCACCCUUUAAUGUUUGAUGUUCUAACGUUGGCCCCUGAUCGGGGUUGCGGACAGUGUCUGGUGGGUAGUUUGACUGGGGCGGUCUCCUCCUAAAGAGUAACGGAGGAGCACGAAGGUUGGCUAAUCCUGGUCGGACAUCAGGAGGUUAGUGCAAUGGCAUAAGCCAGCUUGACUGCGAGCGUGACGGCGCGAGCAGGUGCGAAAGCAGGUCAUAGUGAUCCGGUGGUUCUGAAUGGAAGGGCCAUCGCUCAACGGAUAAAAGGUACUCCGGGGAUAACAGGCUGAUACCGCCCAAGAGUUCAUAUCGACGGCGGUGUUUGGCACCUCGAUGUCGGCUCAUCACAUCCUGGGGCUGAAGUAGGUCCCAAGGGUAUGGCUGUUCGCCAUUUAAAGUGGUACGCGAGCUGGGUUUAGAACGUCGUGAGACAGUUCGGUCCCUAUCUGCCGUGGGCGCUGGAGAACUGAGGGGGGCUGCUCCUAGUACGAGAGGACCGGAGUGGACGCAUCACUGGUGUUCGGGUUGUCAUGCCAAUGGCACUGCCCGGUAGCUAAAUGCGGAAGAGAUAAGUGCUGAAAGCAUCUAAGCACGAAACUUGCCCCGAGAUGAGUUCUCCCUGAGACUUUAAGUCUCCUGAAGGAACGUUGAAGACGACGACGUUGAUAGGCCGGGUGUGUAAGCGCAGCGAUGCGUUGAGCUAACCGGUACUAAUGAACCGUGAGG
rnacentral:rRNA from 1 species